AACGAACGCUGGCGGCAUGCCUAACACAUGCAAGUCGAACGGGAUCCUAGCUUGCUAGGUGAGAGUGGCGGACGGGUGAGUAACACGUGGGAAUCUGCCUUUUUGGUUCGGGAUAACCGCGGGAAACUGCGGCUAAUACCGAAUGCCCUCGAGAGAGGAAAGAUUUAUCGCCAGAAGAGGAGCCCGCGUCCGAUUAGGUAGUUGGUGGGGUAAAGGCCUACCAAGCCGACGAUCGGUAGCUGGUCUGAGAGGAUGAUCAGCCACACUGGGACUGAGAUACGGCCCAGACUCCUACGGGAGGCAGCAGUGGGGAAUAUGGACAAGUGGGGCAACCCUGAUCCAGCAAUGCCG
rnacentral:rRNA from 1 species